rnacentral:lncRNA from 1 species
GAUGCCCACACUUUAGCGAGCUUCGCCAUAAAUGCAUUGGGUAUAUGAUACUCUGACUGUGCUGGUCUUCAAUAAAGCACUUUGAGCAUUCUUAGGUCACUUGGUGUGUGCCAAUAAGUGAAUGCCUCUCUUCCAUGUACGUUUUUCACGUCAUCUUGGGUAACUAGGUAUGUGCCACUGGGAGUGUGCCGAUCCACAAUGACGAAAACGAACCCUUAAACUUAACGUAUGCCGUCUGGAAUCGAUCCCACGCCACAAAGAUUCCUC